rnacentral:rRNA from 1 species
CCUACGGGUGGCAGCAGUAGGGAAUAUUGCUCAAUGGGGGAAACCCUGAAGCAGCAACGCCGCGUGGAGGAUGAAGGUUUUCGGAUUGUAAACUUCUUUUGAUAGAGAAGAAAAUGACGGUAUCUAACGAAUAAGCACCGGCUAACUCCGUGCCAGCAGCCGCGGUAAGACGGAGGGUGCAAGCGUUACUCGGAAGCACUGGGCGUAAAGAGCGCGUAGACGGGAUAGCAAGUCAGAUGUGAAAUCCUAUGGCUUAACCAUAGAACUGCAUUUGAUACUGUUAGUCUAGAGUAUGGGUGAGGUAGGUGGAAUUCUUGGUGUAGCGGUGAAAUCCUUAGAGAUCAAGAGGAAUACUCAUUGCGAAGGCGACCUGCUAGAACAUAACUGACGCUGAUGCGCGAAAGCGUGGGGAGCAAACAGGAUUAGAUACCCGGGUAGUC